rnacentral:rRNA from 1 species
GAUGAACGCUGGCGGCGUGCCUAACACAUGCAAGUCGAACGAAGCGCUUUGAAGUUUUCGGACAGAUGAGUGACUGAGUGGCGGACGGGUGAGUAACGCGUGGGUAACCUGCCUCAUACAGGGGGAUAACAGUUAGAAAUGACUGCUAAUACCGCAUAAGCGCACAGCAUCGCAUGAUGCAGUGUGAAAAGCCGAGACGGUAUGAGAUGGACCCGCGUCUGAUUAGCUAGUUGGUGGGUAACGGCCCACCAAGGCGACGAUCAGUAGCCGACCUGAGAGGGUGACCGGCCACAUUGGGACUGAGACACGGCCCAAAACUCCUAACGGGAGGCAGCAGUGGGAAUAAUGACACAAUGGGCGAAAGCCUGAUGCAGCAACGCCGCGUGAAGGAAGAAGGUCUUCGGAUCGUAAACUUCUGUCCUUAGGGAAGAGUAAUGACGGUACCUUGGAGGAAGCCCCCGGGACUAACUACGUAGG